GCCGGAUUAGCUUUAACGGUAUAGCGGUCGACUUGUAAUCGACAGGUUGUCAGUUCGAAUCUGACAUCCGGCU
rnacentral:tRNA from 1 species